AGAGUUUGAUCCUGGCUCAGGACGAACGCUGGCGGCGUGCCUAACACAUGCAAGUCGAGCGAGUGAAUCUCCUUCGGGAGUGAAGCUAGCGGCGGACGGGUGAGUAACACGUGGGCAACCUGCCUCAUAGAGGGGAAUAGCCUUCCGAAAGGAAGAUUAAUACCGCAUAAGAUUGUAGCUUCGCAUGAAGUAGCAAUUAAAGGAGCAAUCCGCUAUGAGAUGGGCCCGCGGCGCAUUAGCUAGUUGGUGAGGUAACGGCUCACCAAGGCGACGAUGCGUAGCCGACCUGAGAGGGUGAUCGGCCACAUUGGGACUGAGACACGGCCCAGACUCCUACGGGAGGCAGCAGUGGAGAAUAUUGCACAAUGGGGGAAACCCUGAUGCAGCAACGCCGCGUGAGUGAUGACGGCCUUCGGGUUGUAAAGCUCUGUCUUCAGGGACGAUAAUGACGGUACCUGAGGAGGAAGCCACGGCUAACUACGUGCCAGCAGCCGCGGUAAUACGUAGGUGGCGAGCGUUGUCCGGAUUUACUGGGCGUAAAGGGAGCGUAGGCGGACUUUUAAGUGAGAUGUGAAAUACCCGGGCUCAACUUGGGUGCUGCAUUUCAAACUGGAAGUCUAGAGUGCAGGAGAGGAGAAUGGAAUUCCUAGUGUAGCGGUGAAAUGCGUAGAGAUUAAAAGAACACCAGUGGGAAAGGCGAUUCUCUGGGACUGUAACUGACGCUGAGGCUCGAAAGCGUGGGGAGCAAACAGGAUUAGAUACCCUGGAGUCCACGCCGUAAACGAUGAAUACUGUAGGGGUGUCAUGACCUCUGUGCCCGCUAACGCAUUAAGUAUUGGGGGAGUACGGUCGCAGAUAAAACUCAAAGGAUGACGGGGGCCCGCACAAGCAGCGGAGCAUGUGGUUUAAUUCGAAGCAACGCGAAGAACCUUACCUAGACUUGACAUCUCCUGCAUUACCCUUAAUCGGGGAAGUUCCUUCGGGAACAGGAAGACAGGUGGUGCAUGGUUGUCGUCAGCUCGUGUCGUGAGAUGUUGGGUUAAGUCCCGCAACGAGCGCAACCCUUAUUGUUAGUUGCUACCAUUUAGUUGAGCACUCUAGCGAGACUGCCCGGGUUAACCGGGAGGAAGGUGGGGAUGACGUCAAAUCAUCAUGCCCCUUAUGUCUAGGGCUACACACGUGCUACAAUGGCAAGUACAAAGAGAAGCAAGACCGUGAGGUGGAGCAAAACUCAAAAACUUGUCUCAGUUCGGAUUGUAGGCUGAAACUCGCCUACAUGAAGCUGGAGUUGCUAGUAAUCGCGAAUCAGCAUGUCGCGGUGAAUACGUUCCCGGGCCUUGCACACACCGCCCGUC
rnacentral:rRNA from 1 species